GAGUAACACGUGAGUCAACCUGCCCUUGACUCUGGGAUAAGCCCGGGAAACUGGGUCUAAUACCGGAUAGGAGCGCCUGUCGCAUGACGGGUGCUGGAAAGAUUUUUCGGUCAUGGAUGGACUCGCGGCCUAUCAGCUUGUUGGUGAGGUAACGGCUCACCAAGGCGACGACGGGUAGCCGGCCUGAGAGGGUGACCGGCCACACUGGGACUGAGACACGGCCCAGACUCCUACGGGAGGCAGCAGUGGGGAAUAUUGCACAAUGGGCGGAAGCCUGAUGCAGCGACGCCGCGUGAGGGAUGACGGCCUUCGGGUUGUAAACCUCUUUCAGNAGGGAAGAAGCGAAAGUGACGGUACCUGCAGAAGAAGCACCGGCUAACUACGUGCCAGCAGCCGCGGUAAUACGUAGGGUGCGAGCGUUAUCCGGAAUUAUUGGGCGUAAAGAGCUCGUAGGCGGUUUGUCGCGUCUGUCGUGAAAGUCCGGGGCUUAACCCCGGAUCUGCGGUGGGUACGGGCAGACUAGAGUGCAGUAGGGGAGACUGGAAUUCCUGGUGUAGCGGUGGAAUGCGCAGAUAUCAGGAGGAACACCGAUGGCGAAGGCAGGUCUCUGGGCUGUAACUGACGCUGAGGAGCGAAAGCAUGGGGAGCGAACAGGAUUAGAUACCCUGGUAGUCCAUGCCGUAAACGUUGGGCACUAGGUGUGGGGACCAUUCCACGGUUUCCGCGCCGCAGCUAACGCAUUAAGUGCCCCGCCUGGGGAGUACGGCCGCAAGGCUAAAACUCAAAGGAAUUUGACGGGGGCCCGCACAAGGCGGCGGAGCAUGCGGAUUAAUUCGGAUGCAACGGCGAAGAACCUUACCAAGGCUUGAC
rnacentral:rRNA from 1 species